GGGUCUAGUGGAUUCCCACUAGGAACAGUAGAAUGCCCUUUCAAAAAUAAUUCCAGUUCUUUGAACCUCUAUUUUUGAAGGGGUCUUUUCUUAGUUCUUAGUAGGGGUCCAUGUAGGCCCUGGCAAUUCCUUUAGGGGCUAACAUAUCCCCGUUGUUGUUGUCACUACUGCUGGUGGAAGAAGCUUCGUCUAGAAGCUGCAAGACUUCAUUAGUGACAUCUUGGCUUUCGAGAUCGUCCAGAGCCUUUUUUAAUCUUUCUUUGAGCGCCUGUUUAUCCUUUGAGACGCUUGCUGAAGAUAAUGGUGAUUUGUUUUUGUUGGGAGUUUUAGGAGCUGCUGGCUUAGGAGUCCAGCCUUUAACUUUUAUCUCUUUGGACAAAUAAGU
rnacentral:lncRNA from 1 species